CUCCACUGGGCGGGCUCGUCUGGGAGGCUGAUGCCUUGAAUUGAGAAAUGUUCAUUGCAGAAGAUGUUGUUAUUUGAGGAUGUGGCUGUGGUUUUCACCUGGGAGGAGUGGCAGGACCUAGAUGAUGCUCAGCGGACUCUCUACAGGGAUGUGAUGCUGGAGACCUACAACAGCCUGUUGUCCAUGCGGUUUUGUGUUAGCAAACCUGAGUUCAUCAUCAGAUUGGAGCAGGGAGCAGAGCCAUGGACUGUCAAGGAACCCUCAAACCAGAGCCUCUUAGGCCAGUCACUGCAUACUAGGAAGGGAGGCUGGGAGGAGGAGAGCCCAGGACUUCUAAGCCCUAAUGAGCUAUUUUUCCCCAUAUCCAGACCUUAGAAUGGUUGGUCUCUGUGUAUAUAAUUUGUUUAUUAUUUGCUCUCCAAAUAUGGCUCCCUAAUUAAUCUUCCCCUACUUUUAUAAUGGUUGUAAGUAUCCUUCGAGUAACUGGUGUGCAAUCGCUAACUACCUUCCUCUAGAAAUGUUUUUUGGUUUAUCAAUCUCUGGAGUCUCAUUUUUACUCCAUUCUUAGGGACUGUCCUUCCAGGCAUUUACUCAUACAUUGGUUUAUUCUUUCAACAUGUUUAAUGGUAAGUUGUGUGGAUAACAACAGUAAUCAAAGGAAUGUGUCC